rnacentral:tRNA from 1 species
GCCCCUAUAGCCCAAUUGGCAGAGGCAGCGGACUUAAAAUCCGCCAAGUCAGGGUUCGAGUCCCUGUGGGGGCACCA